rnacentral:ncRNA from 1 species
UCGUUUGACUGAGGACAUCGAUUUAAUCGUUGGUAUUGGUCAAAGAGUACUUCAUUAAAGCAGCGUUUCGCCGUGCCCACACCGAGACCCUGCUUUUUUUA